CUCGAGCGGCGAACGGGUGAGUAACACGUGAGUAAUCUGCCCCUGGCUUUGGGAUAGCCACCGGAAACGGUGAUUAAUACCGGAUAUGACCACUUUUCGCAUGGAUGGUGGUGGAAAGUUUUUCGGCCAGGGAUGUGCUCGCGGCCUAUCAGCUUGAUGGUGAGGUAAUGGCUCACCAUGGCUUCGACGGGUAGCCGGCCUGAGAGGGUGACCGGCCACACUGGGACUGAGAC
rnacentral:rRNA from 14 species